CAGUGCGUUACGAACAGAACUGCGAAGCAGGCGGUCUUGGUUCGAACCCCCGUGCUGCCAGUUUGCUGUGUUUAAGUCAAUGUAUUUAACUGUUUGCUUUUUCAAUGGAACACACAUUUUUUCUACUUUCCUGUGAUAUAUUUUUUUUUCCAAUUAUUGCGUCAUCACCGUCAACCUAUUUAAGUCGGGCCAAAUGCGACACUCGUUCUCUUUUGCCAGCGACCCGUCACCGGCGUUUCCACAAGAUCGUCCAAAACUUUGACAAGGGUGCUAACAUCUUGCUAGCAUGCUAGCUAAAACCUUUGAGCUUUCGGAGGCAUUUAACGUCUCCUGCGAGCUUAAACUACACCAAAACGCAUUUAUCUGGGGUAUAUGCUGAUAAAUGAAUGCACACAUGCCGUUUUUCAGGAGGUUUGAAUCUUCAACCGAAUGGCCAAAUUGAGUGAAUUCCUGUUUCUCUACACCGCAUAUCCUUUAUUAAACAGAAUACAUCAAGUAAUUGUCUUGUGGAUUAAUUCUCAUUUCUGAUUACAGGUUCAAAUCUUCAACUAAAUGGCUGCCUUUUGGGGCAGGCCUCUUGAGACUUUUGUGGGUCUACUGAUAAACCCCUCGCUCCAUUGUCACGUUGCGAAGUCAAACUGGCUCGUGGGGCUGAAUUGGGAAACGUCGAACGCUAACCGUGUUGUCGUGUCUUUCAGGCCGUCGCUGACGAGGCGUCCGGCUGCUCCCUGCUCUCCUCACUGGUGAGACAAACUUUCAUACAUGUACAAAAACAAAAGUGACUCAUUUCUUUCAGCACGAGCUGACCAGGCAGCCUCCAGCGAUGUCAUCACAGUUCAGGAAGAAUCUGAUGGACUGAAGGAGGUUCCCCCAAAGUUGCACUCUGAGCUGCGCUGCAGCCAGAUCCUUCAAGUUCUUUACCUUCUCGCUCCUGGACAGUAGCAUGUUCUUGCUGCUCACGUCCACCAGGUGGUGCCGAAGAAUUCCUGGAGAACCUGAUCAUGGAUCAACUGGUGAAGUCGAUCUCUAAGCUUGGGACCUGUUGAAAAGUCAAUGAAUUUUGUUUGUUGUUCCAGGUGGUGGAAACAUGGCGUCACAAUCAACAUGUUGAGCGGUGACAUUGCGCUACAAAUAAACACAGCAAAUUUAAGUUUGACGCGCCCUCACCUGCUUUUUCUUUUCGACUCCACAUGCAGGUCGGCUUCCAGUCCAAGUGCCAUCGGGGACUCGGCCCCCAAGAUCCUGGACAAAGAGAAGAGUUCCAAAUGAAUGUGCAGAAGGGCUCCCGGAGAAGUCUCUGCGCCACCAGUCCACUCUGAAGGCUUCAGUCGUUUGAUAUGAAGACGGUUCUUGUUGCAGUCGUGGUGUUAAAGCUCAAGUGUGAAGUAGAUUUCCAAGCUUGGACCUGUUGGAAAGACGAGACUUGAAGGAAUUUUGUUUUUUGUUCCAGGUGGUGGAAACAUGGCAUCAUGAUCAACUUCUUGUCCAGUGUGUUGAGGUCUGCUUCCAGUCCAAGUGCCGUCGGGGACUCGGCCCCCAAGAUCCUGGACAAAGAGAAGAGUUCCUGAAUGUGCAGAUCUCCUGGAGAAGUCUUGCGCCACCAGUCCACUCAGAAGGCCUGAGUCGUUUGAAUCGAAGACUGUUCUUGUUCAAGCAGAAGGUUCCAGUCUACCUGAGAUGACUUUCCAGCGCUGUCCUUUCUUGAUGAGUUUUGGCUGCAGUCACGACAGCCUCUUGUUUGAAGUCAUUGGGAGCUGAGGAACAAGAUGGCUUUGCACUCGGAGAUGCGCUGCAGCCAGGACCCUCAAGUUCUUUACCUUCUUGGUCCUGGACACUUGCAUGUUCUUCCUGCGCACGUCCACCAGGUGGCGCUGAAGGAUCCCUGGAGAACCUGAUCUUGUGAAGUGGUGGAAACAUGGCAUCAUGGUCAACUUUCUGUCCAACAUGUUGAGAGGUCAGCUUCCAGUCCAAGUGCCAUCGGGGACUCGGCCAGCAAGCUCCUCCACCUGCUGGGCAAAGAGACAAGUUCUACAUGAACGUGCAGAAGGUCUCCCGGAGAAGUCUCUGACCACCAGUCCACUCUGAAGGCUUCAGUCGUUUGAUACGAGGAUGGUUCUUGUUGCAGUAGUAGUGGUCACGCUAAAGGUGGUGGAAACAUGGCCUCAUGAUCAACUUCCUGUCCAGCAUGUUGAGUUGAAGUCGGGUUCCAGUCCAAGUGCCAUCGGGGGACUCGGCCACCAAGAUCCUCCACCUGCUGGGCAAAGAGAAGAGUUCCACAUGAAUGUGCAGAAGGUCUCCCGGAGAAGUCUCUGACCACCAGUCCACUCUGAAGGCUUCAGUCGUUUGAUACGAGGAUGGUUCUUGUUGCAGUAACUCUAAGCUUGGGACCUGUUGGAAAGACAGACUUAAUGACUUUUGUUUGU